GACGUAGGGCGCGAGCGUUGUCCGGAUUUAUUGGGCGUAAAGAGCUCGUAGGCGGCUUGUUGCGUCGGCUGUGAAAACCCGCGGCUUAACCGUGGGCUUGCAGCCGAUACGGGCAGGCUAGAGUUCGGUAGGGGAGACUGGAAUUCCUGGUGUAGCGGUGAAAUGCGCAGAUAUCGAGAGGAACACCUGCGGCGAAGGCGGGUUGCUGGGCUGACACUGACGCUGAGGCGCGAAAGCUAGGGGAGCGAACGGG
rnacentral:rRNA from 1 species